UACGGAGGGAGCGAACGUUGUUCGGAUUUACUGGGCGUAAAGAGCUCGUAGGCGGUUCCGUAAGUCAGAUGUGAAACCUCCAGGCUCAACCUGGAGACGCCACCUGAUACUGCUGUGACUGGAGUCCGGUAGGGGAGCGUGGAAUUCCUGGUGUAGCGGUGAAAUGCGCAGAUAUCAGGAGGAACACCGGUGGCGAAGGCGGAUCUCUGGGCCAUUACUGACGCUGAGGAGCGAAAGCGUGGGGAGCGAACAGG
rnacentral:rRNA from 1 species